GGUGAGGGGCUGGCCUGUGGUUGAGGUGAGGGCUUGUCCUGUUGCAGUUCAGUUUCAGCUGAAGACGACUAUGAAACUGACACAAUGUGUGCUCCUCCACUUCAGUACUUUCAAGUUCAGAAUUCUGUCUUAGUCACCUGUUGCUUUGUGACUCUUCACAGAGGGAAGUCCAAGACAAUGGUUUUAUCCUCAUUGGAAUUGUCCUUGGUAGACAGGCUGCUCUGAAUCAUGGGGACUGAGUGCAGAUGGAAUGUCUGUCCUCACCUGUCCGACAUGAGUGAGGAGCUGGUAAGGGGCACCACGCUGCAUUUAUGUAACUUGAGUGCUGGGUGCCUCAGUCACUAGGCACCUUUCACCGCCUUGCUUCUCGGAUCCUCAGUUUUAGACUGUUCUAGAACCAACAAAGCCCGUUUCCGCCCCCACGGCCCAGGAGGCUUAUCUGAACCUUUCUGUGUCAGAGUAGACUUCUACUAAUCCUGAUGCCUCCAGCAAGAGGUAUUGCAGUGAGUUUUGGAAUGGCUACACAUGGUGAAUCACAAUGAGCAAAGACAGUAAUGUUGAGAAAUGUUAUUGAGCAUAGGUAUGCCAGACACAUAUCUUAACUCUCAAGAGCUGUGUGAGAUAAAUAUCACUUUAUUUUCUG